ensembl:snRNA U6 U6 spliceosomal RNA
GUGCUUUGGCAGCACAUAUACUAAAACUGGAAUGCUACAGAGAAGAUUAACAUGGGCCCUGAGCAAUGAUGACAUGCAAAUUCAUGAAGUGUUCCAUAAUUUU